UCAUCCAUUCCAGGUUGGAGACUGUAAAUAUAUACAAUGACACGGAGCCCAGACACUCGAGCCUUGCUGGAAAGGACCGUACCUGGUGCUGCUGACCACCCUGACAGCCGUCAAUUCUCAGCCCUCACCAGCCGCAUACUAGCUGUUGGGGCUGAGAGUUGGGACCUAGAGGGACACUCAGAUCUUCAAAAAAGCUCCCUAGACUUACACAUCAGAUAAGUGACUGGGAGGUUGUUAUAAUGCUCACUUGAGGAGUGUGCUUUAGAAACAAGAAUUUCAUGUUUGCCCUGGGUUCCAUCGAGAAAAAUAUAGAGAUAGGCUUGAUUUCUAUUACAAAUGAUGUAACAUUACAUAUGUUAAUACUCCUAACACUUCUUGGGACUGUGCCUCAGGGACCAUAAGUUUAAAAGUUCUAAGAUAGUCAUGACCUUGGUGUAUAGGUUUAGAUAGUGUUCAGAUUAGAAUCCUAAAGACUUUUUAGCUGACCUCCAAGAAUACCUAACCUCCCUCUCAGAGGUAGUCCUUCAAAAUAGGAGAAGAUUAGACCUGAUAUUCCUUAAAGAAAGAGGGCUAUGUGCUGCUUUGAGAGAAGAAUGUUGUUUUUACCUCGAUCACUCCAUUA
rnacentral:lncRNA from 1 species